GACGAACGCUGGCGGCGUGCUUAACACAUGCAAGUCGUACGGUAAGGCCCUUUCGGGGGUACACGAGUGGCGAACGGGUGAGUAACACGUGAGUAACCUGCCCACAACUUUGGGAUAACGCUAGGAAACUGGUGCUAAUACUGGAUAUGUGCUCCUGCUGCAUGGUGGGGGUUGGAAAGCUCCGGCGGUUGUGGAUGGACUCGCGGCCUAUCAGCUUGUUGGUGGGGUAGUGGCCUACCGAGGCGGCGACGGGUAGCCGGCCUGGGAGGGUGACCGGCCACAUUGGGACUGAGAUACGGCCCAGACUCCUACGGGGGGCAGCAGUGGGGAAUAUUGCACAAUGGGCGCAAGCCUGAUGCAGCAACGCCGCGUGCGGGAUGACGGCCUUCGGGUUGUAAACCGCUUUCAGCAGGGACGAAGCUUUUUGUGACGGUACCUGCAGAAGAAGCACCGGCUAACUACGUG
rnacentral:rRNA from 1 species